rnacentral:lncRNA from 1 species
CUGCAAUAGGAUGACGUGGUCAAAGGGAAUAAGGCUAUGAUGAUGGGGCAGGGGGAUGCAGGGGCUAGGCGUGGCCCGUGUGGUGUGGGGCGUGGAAAUAGAUAAUGGCAGGUGGCGUACGGGGUAAGGGAAAACUCUGAAAUCGGCUUUUUGUUCUGAUCCCCUUCCCCCCUGUAAAGUCACUGUUACAGAUUCAAUUUGCGCUGGGUACAGAUGGAUGAAUCAUCUGUACCUACAGAUGACUCACUGUUCGUGGCAGGAGGCAAUUGGUUGGAUAUUUAGGGAUAGGGAAGAGAGCUUCCUCCGGAGUACUCCAUGUUCUCCGCCGCCGCCUUCAGAUUAGGAGACCGAUAGUGCGGUAGAGCAGCUCUUGUGAAGGACUGAGCUCAUGAUUUAUGUGACUGAAAUGGGUGGAGAAUGAUGAAGAAAGGUUUAGAAGAAGGGAGAAAAAAAUGGAAUGUGUGAAUGAAUAUGAGGGAAAGGAAGAAGAAAAAGAAGUUGAAGGACAGCUAGGAAAUUGGAAAGGAAUGCAGAAGCAAGGAGGUGAAAAGCUCGAGCUCUGCCGUUGUCCAUUCCGCAUCGUCGACACCCGACGAUGGUGUCGGCAUCUGUUAGAAGAGGAGUAGAGUCAGAAAGGUAAGUUAAAAAUAUUCUCUCUCCAUCCUCUUGAUUUUUUGUGCAUUUUUCUUCAACCGUCGGAUAUCAUUUGGUCACUAUCAGCCGUCCGAUUGAAUCAUCUAUAGGUACAGAUGAUUCAACCUUCUGUACCCAGCUUAAAUUGUUACAGAUUAUUAUGGGCAUGGGGGAUGAUUUUGACUUACUUUGCAAGUUGCAUUGGCAAUGUCGAGGAAACUUCAAUAAUAACCUCUUUUUAAUGAUUUUGUCACUUCUCCCUCGCACACUUUCUACGUGUGUUUUCAUUUUUGUUCUUGUUCAAGGUCGGGGCCUCAACUAGACCCGCGCAUAGUAAAGGGCCUCCACUCUCUAAGUAUGCCCGAACCUCAGUACCGUAGUUGAAAUGCCGACCGAGAAGCACCAAAGCGGCCGUCAUAACUAGGUCGUUUAGAUAGAGUAUUUAGUGGUAUUUCGGGCAAAAUAUUACAUUUGUUAUUCAAUAUAUAAUUGGUAGUAUUUUAACAUGAGAUAUUUCAAAUAGUGAGUUUUGGUGGUAUUUGAAAUAUUUGGGUUGAGGGUGGCAUUUCAAUUAGUGAGUUUUUAUAACAUUCUGUUAUUUGAAAAUUAUCAUGAAUGAGCUAGUUCAAUAAUUCUACUCGAUACUUUAGUCAUAAAAUUUUAGUUCGAGUGGGCUAGCGAUUGAGAAAAGUUAGCUAAACCAUCAAGGUUAAAAUCAAUCAUGUUCUUGAGCCACUGAUUUAAUAUUUAUCGAUGCAACUUGUGAGCUAUUUGAACCGAAACGACACAAGAGUUGUUUAAAAAUCAAACAAAUACAUGCAUGAGCUAUAAACUCGCCAACCUAGCUAACUUUAAGGAUAUGCUCGAACUAGACAUCGUUGCUUUCAUAGUGAAAAGAAAAAAACAAAGAUUAAAUCAAGCGGCUAGCACAAGUUGGAUCCAAAUGUGCAGUACAGCUGGGCAAGGACGAGUACUUUAGAAUUUCUGUGAUUAAUUUACUAGGCCUGUCUCCAAAAACGAAUGGCCUGGAUGUGACGAACUCAACUCUAUAGGGCCGAUUUGGGGAACCUCGACUAGGUACGAAUCUAUCUCCGAGUUUGAUCUUCAAUGCCAUAUAUAUAUGGCUCAGUAUAUUUCGAAUUUUAUACAAUUUAAUGUAAGAUGUUAUAUUAUUUUGGAUCCAUAGCUGUCGAUUUCAAGAAGGAGAUUUAAUGUUAUAUUAGCUGGCAAUAUUAUUUAAGUGACGUUUUGUCUAAUUAUGGUUUUGUCAGGCUCCACGCGAGUCAGCAAAACCCAUCCCAGUUUGACUUUCCACACUGUGCAUAGGUUCUUUUCUCAUGUGUUGUUAGGAACAGUACGUAAGAUCUUUGGCAACCCUGUCAGCCCGCAAGUUGGACGCUCGAUGAAUGAAAUGGAACGAGA